UGGGGAAUAUUGCACAAUGGGCGCAAGCCUGAUGCAGCCAUGCCGCGUGUAUGAAGAAGGCCUUCGGGUUGUAAAGUACUUUCAGUCGGGAGGAAGGUGGUAAGGUUAAUAACCUUAUCAAUUGACGUUACCGACAGAAGAAGCACCGGCUAACUCCGUGCCAGCAGCCGCGGUAAUACGGAGGGUGCAAGCGUUAAUCGGAAUUACUGGGCGUAAAGCGCACGCAGGCGGUUGAUUGAGUCAGAUGUGAAAUCCCCGGGCUUAACCCGGGAAUUGCAUCUGAUACUGGUCAGCUAGAGUCUUGUAGAGGGGGGUAGAAUUCCAUGUGUAGCGGUGAAAUGCGUAGAGAUGUGGAGGAAUACCUGUGGCGAAGGCGGCCCCCUGGACAAAGACUGACGCUCAGGUGCGAAAGCGUGGGGAGCAAACAGG
rnacentral:rRNA from 1 species